UACGGAGGAUCCAAGCGUUAUCCGGAUUUAUUGGGUUUAAAGGGUGCGUAGGCGGCUUAUUAAGUCAGGGGUGAAAGACGGUGGCUCAACCAUCGCAGUGCCCUUGAUACUGGAUGAGCUUGAAUACACUAGAGGUAGGCGGAAUGUGACAAGUAGCGGUGAAAUGCAUAGAUAUGUCACAGAACACCGAUUGCGAAGGCAGCUUACUAUGGUGUGAUUGACGCUGAUGGACGAAAGCGUGGGUAGCGAACAGG
rnacentral:rRNA from 1 species